AAACUUAAAUGAAUUGACGGGGCCCGCACAAGCGGUGGAGCUAUGUGGUUUAAUUCGACGCAACGCGAAAACCUUACUGGGCUUGACAUGCCGGGAAUCCUGAUGAAAGUUGGGAGUGCCCGUAAGGGGAACCCGGACACAGGUGCUGCAUGGCUGUCGUCAGCUCGUGCCGUGAGGUGUUGGGUUAAGUCCCGCAACGAGCGCAACCCUUGUCACUAGUUGCCAUCAUUUGGUUGGGCACUCUAGUGAGACUGCCGGUGACAAACCGGAGGAAGGUGGGGAUGACGUCAAGUCCUCAUGGCCCUUAUGGGUAGGGCUUCACACGUCAUACAAUGGUCGGUACAGAGGGUUGCCAAGCCGCGAGGUGGAGCCAAUCCCUUAAAGCCGAUCGUAGUCCGGAUCGCAGUCUGCAACUCGACUGCGUGAAGUCGGAAUCGCUAGUAAUCGCGGAUCAGCAUGUCGCGGUCGAAUACGUUCCCGGGCCUU
rnacentral:rRNA from 1 species